CCCUACCUGGGUAUACAGCCCAUUUAUAUAUGGCCACCAAAACUAGAUAAUAUUGAUGAAGCCAAGAAAUGCAUGCUGACAGGAGCCUGAUAUAGCUGUCUCCUGAGAGACACAUCCAGAGCAUGUCAAAUACAGAGGUGAAUGCUAGCAGCAAACCAUUGAACUAAGAACGGGGUCCCCAUUGGAGGAGAGAAAGGAUUGAAGGAGCUGAAGGGGCUUGCAACCCCAUAAGAACAACAAUACCAACCAACUAGAGCUCCCAGGGACUAAACCACUACCCAAAGAGUACACAUGGACAGACUCAUGGCUCCAGCUGCAUAUGUAGCAAAGGAUGGCCUUGUUGGGCACCAACGGGAGGAGAAGCCCUUGGUCCUGCCAAGGCUGGACCCCUCAGUGCAGGGGAAUGUUGGAAGUGGGGGUUGAGGAGGGAGAACACCCUCAUAGAAGAAGAAGAGGGGGAUGGGAUAGGGGGUUUAUGGCUGGGAAACGGGGAAAAGGGAUAACAUUUGAAAUGUAAAAAAUAUUCAAUAAAAAAAAGCAGAAAAACU
rnacentral:lncRNA from 1 species